ensembl:lncRNA
GUUGGCCAUUUUGUGUAUAUACACCCUGCAUUUGCGCGUCUUGUUUGGUGUUUCAGCAAUUCUGAGCGUUUGUUUCUGAUUUGGUUUUCUGGUCUUUUGUCCUCGCCUUUUGGUUUGUUAUUGACUGCUCUUUUGGAUCUGCCCCCUUUGAAUCUGGCUGCUUUCCAUGGCCUGCUUUUCUGGAUUUCUAACCCUCUGCUUGUUUUGACUUACUUUGCACCUGGAAUUAAACUUGCGCUUGACUCCUGCCCCUCGUGUGAAGCAGUUCAUGACAGAAGACUUUGCCAUAUUAUGGAGUCAGCAAGUUUGGAGGAGCGUAUGAACAAAUAGGAACAGUGGUUGGAGGAUCUGUGCGGUAUGUUACAAUAAUUGCUGAACUGCUCGGACCAGCCCAACAUAGCCUCCACCCCAACAUCUCCAACAGUUCCUCCUGAACAAAACUCCUCCACCUCAGCUAUACCCACCGCGCGUCCUCCGGUCUCCAUUGCCCUCCUAGAAAGGUAUGAUGGCUCUCCCGAUCUCUGUCAGAGGUUCUUGAUGCAGUGCAGUAUGUUCAUUGAACAUCACCCUGAACAGUUUCUGAUGGAGAUCAACAAGAUUCAUUUUGUAAUCUCCUUGCUAAGUGGGAAAUCUAAGGCAUGGGCCUCUGCACUCUGGACCCAAAAUAGUGACAUUAUGAAAUCUGAGACAUGAUUUUUGAACUCUUUUAAGGCGGUGUUUAAUCACCCUUUGACUGGACGUGAUGUGGGAAAUUCCCUGUGUGAUAUUCGUCAGGGAAAACGCUCUGCAGCAGAAUAUGCUCUAGAGUUCUGGACCUUGGCAGCAGGUAGUGGCUGGAGUGAGGUUGCCCUGCUCAUGAUCUAUAAGAGAGGUUUGAGGAAGGCUCUCCAGGCUGAAAUGGUCUGUCGAGGUGAGCAAUUGACUCUAGAUCGCUUUUUUCGAACCUCAAUUGCUUUGGAUGACUUGGUGCGUGAGAGGAACAGCCUGCAACGACCAUCUAUAACCACUCCAGUCACCCCGGCCUCGACUCCUGAAGCUGAACCCAUGGAAUUAGGUAGAACAAGUCUACCAGAGACAGAAAGGCGUUGUCACUUGAGAAAGAACCUCUGUCUCUAUUGUGGUCAUACUGGUCACCGGCUUGCUAACUGCUCCCAAUAUCCUAGUUCUUCUAGGACGUUGGAGGAGCAUUUGUUGCAACAGGAGUCCUGACCUCAACCCCACAGAACACCUUUGGGAUGAAUUAGAGUGGAGACUGUGAGCCAGGCCUUCUCGUCCAACAUCCAACUAAUCCUAACCCUUGUGGAAAGC